CCAUUUCCUUCUGCAGGGGACCUUCCCAAACCAGGGAUCAACCCCGUGUCUCUUGCAUUGGCAGGCAGAUUCUUUACCACUGAGCCACCAGGGAAGCAAGAUGCCAUGCAGCUAAGCCCGAGCACCAUAACUGGAGAAAGCGCACAUGCCACACAACAAAGACCCAGCACAGCCAAAAAAAUUAUAAAACUGAAAAGAUCAACAGGCAAAAAGAGCAAAAUAAAAACCAGCACCGGGACCAGUCCCGGGGUAACGGCCCUCUGAGCCUCUUUAGAAACCCCCCCACCCUUUACAUCCCUUCCUGAUUGAUCACCUAUUUAGUUGCCCAGCCAAAGCUAAAAUCAGUGGCUUUCACCCUGACUAUGCUUUAGGAUCACCUGGAGAAUAUUUAAAUAAAGUUUAUAGUUUGGAUCCCACCUCAAACCAACUAAGUCAGGAUCCCUAGAGGUGGGGCCCUGGCAUCUAUAUUUUUAAAAAAUCCUUAGGUGAUGCUCUUGAUGCCAUUGCUUUGACCCACUGGCUUAGAGCCUCUGAGCUGACAGCUGAGGGUCAGAGAGGCAUCCUUCUCUCCAUGGCGCCCAUGGCCUCACCUUUGCAGCUCGUAUCCCAACAGCCUGGCUAAGAACGUUUAGGAAAAGAGAAAAGCAGCAUGUGUGCAGCUCAUUUCUUUAGCAGGUCUACACGUCCUGCCCUACUAACACUCAUCUGACCCUCAGAUAACUCCAUCUGAAUCCCAGGUUGCCCAGUGCGGAAAGCACAGGCCAAAGCUGAAGUCCUCGCUGCCCUCUGUGUUUUCUAAACACCUGCGGGGAACACAGUGCCCUCCAGCAAGGCAGCAUCAGAUCAGGGCAGCUGCUUUGGACGGAGGCUGGGCGUGGCAAAUAAAAGCAAACCACAGUGGUCAGCAAUUCAUCCAAGCGCUCCCCGGAAGAGUGCCCUGAGCAGGCUGAGCUGGAGCUUCACUCUUCCUCCAAGAGCGCAGUGCCCUUUUAUCUCAGUCCUGGGCAGGUGUGGUAGCCAGUUAUCCUUCCCCUUCAUUUUCAUCCCCUCACCUGAUCCUUUAGCCUAAGCUCUGACUCCAGGGUCCACGGCCCACACCACUGACCUCUCAUUGAUAAGCAGUGCCUACAAGGGACCAACCAUCACAGACCUAUCUCGGGUGGAAAGAGCUGGUAACAGUAACUGUGGAAAAAUCUCAGAUCUCUGGGAGAAAAGUUUCCAUAAAGUGAUUCACUCAAUCAGGCAAAUGAACUUCCAUCUCCUCUAAUGUGCCAGGCACUGUGGACACAGCGCUUCCCUCAAGACAUGACAUAGACUGAGUUCUUUCUGAACAAUAACAUUUAAUGGCUUUAUUAUCCAGUGAGGAAAACUGAAGAGAAUCAGAACAACUCUCCAAUGACUUGAUUGAGUACCCAGCUCAAUAUCUACUUUGCUGUCAUUUAAAAGAUGUCCCUCUUGGGAAAGGACAGGAUUCUGUGGCAUUUUGUGAGCCUCCUGGGAGCUGCCUUGCACUCUGACUCCGGAAAUUUUCCCACAUCCCCUGAGUCUUCAUUUCCCGUCUCAGAGGUUACCCGCUUGCGUCAAGCUGAUUUCUUUGCUGCUGUUGAUGGAAGCCAUGGGUUUACCAUCUGUGUGCGCUUGGACCACUCAUCUUCCUCUCCAGUCUCCUCCAAAGAAUAUGUUUAGGAAAAAUAAACACCUACGGCUCCCAAAGACACUGAAAAUUGGUCCAAGGACUCCAACAUUUCCUUUCUUAAAAAAGAAGAAGAAGAUCAUCGCCUUUGUAGACCCUCCCUAAAUCUUCUUCCUGCAGAACAGCCCACCCAGGGGACCGCCUCUAUCUGGCUCUGAUCCUCAGUAAACUUGUUUUCCAGGCUGUCGUGGGUGUUCUUGUGGAGUGACAGAAGACUCGGGUAUUCAGCAGCACCAUCUCAACAGCCACCGGAAGUGGGAAAAGAUCAUCCAAGUGCACGAUCAUCACACACUGAGGCACAGAGUGUCCGUCGAGACGAACUUUACCAGGUGGGGAAAUGCAUAAGCAAGAAGCUGACAGUCAACGAGACAGUCAAGCGAAUGGACCACUUGUGAGUGAAGAGCCAGUGAAUUCCCGAACCUUGUAAUAUUUCUCCCUCCUUAUUGUGAACAAAAAUGAAGAAAAAUAUUUUCUCUGCAUACUUUAUCUUCAUCCCCUCAUUUCACCAUCUUUUCCCGCUUGUAUUACAAUUAUUACAGUUAUUGCCACUGUAUUUUUCCUCUUGUAUUACAAUGACUAAAGAAAAUAUUUUCCCUGCAUAAUUUAUCUCCAUCCCCUGACUUCGCCAUCUUUUCUCCCUUUGUUACAAUUACUGCCAGGGUCUCUCAAGAGUCAUCCCAGAGAACUACAAGGACAAAGGUAGAAAGGAGAAGCACCUUGGCUGAGACAGGGAUGGAGGGACUCUGUUCAACCCAACCAGAUUGUUAGGAAACAGCCUCAUUGAGCUAAUCCAGGUUUUCUCCCUGCCCUCCUGCACCUACCCCAGGGAGGUGCAGGAGGAUAGGGUGUCUGCAGUCCCUGCCGUGGGAACUAGCAAUGGGUCUGAAGCUGGCAGCAUCCUGCUCCUUCUUCUGAAACAGAAGAGCUUCAAAGUUAGGAGGGAAAUAAAUGCCUGUGAAAUACCAGCUUUCAGUCAUGUUCCCUUUCUUCUCUCAGAAACAGACUUAAGCAGUCUUUACCAAGGAGUGCAGGACCGCUGGGGGCAAAAGCACGCUGCACAGAGAUGAAAAAUCCUAAGAAUCUCAGCACAGCACACUACCACACUAAACCCAACCAUCAACAGCUUGCUUUGUCUAAAUACACUUUCCUUUUUAGAGUUUACUUCCAGAUUUACAGAAUUAUUGUGAAGAGAGAGUUCCUGUAUACCCAGUUUCUCCUAUUAUUAACAUCUGAUGUUCAUAUGGCACAUUUCUUACAGUU